CAAUAGCGUAUACUAAUGUUGUUGCAGUUAAAAAGCUCGUAGUCGAACUUCUGGUAGGAGUGUCCCGGCCUUUUUGUUUUUACAAAUUGUAUGCUGUGUGACAUCUCUGGCCAUCCUUCUUCUUUGUUUAAAGAAGAUCUUUCACUGUAAAAAAAUUAGGGUGUUCAAAGCAAAAGUUUCUUUGGAAUAUAUUAGUAUGGGAUGAUAAGAUAGGCUCUAGAUGCUAUUUUGUUGGUUUGCACAUUUAGAGAAUGAUUAGCAGGGACAGUUGGGGGUAUUCGUAUUUACAUGUCAGAGGUGAAAUUCUUGGAUUUUGGAAAGACGAACUACUGCGAAAGCAUUUACCAAGGAUGUUUUCAUUAA
rnacentral:rRNA from 1 species